UACAGAGGUCCCAAGCGUUGUUCGGAUUCAUUGGGCGUAAAGGGUGCGUAGGUGGCGCCGUAAGUCGGGUGUGAAAUUUCGGAGCUUAACUCCGAAACUGCAUUCGAUACUGCGGUGCUUGGGGACUGGAGAGGAGACUGGAAUUCAUGGUGUAGCAGUGAAAUGCGUAGAGAUCAUGAGGAAGACCAGUGGCGAAGGCGGGUCUCUGGACAGUUCCUGACACUGAGGCACGAAGGCCAGGGGAGCAAACGGG
rnacentral:rRNA from 1 species